UACGUAGGUGGCAAGCGUUGUCCGGAAUUAUUGGGCGUAAAGCGCGCGCAGGCGGCCUCUUAAGUCUGAUGUGAAAGCCCCCGGCUCAACCGGGGAGGGCCAUUGGAAACUGGGAGGCUUGAGUAUAGGAGAGAAGAGUGGAAUUCCACGUGUAGCGGUGAAAUGCGUAGAGAUGUGGAGGAACACCAGUGGCGAAGGCGGCUCACUGGACCAUAACUGACGCUGAUGCACGAAAGCUGGGGGGAGCAAACAGG
rnacentral:rRNA from 1 species